ACUAAUCCCCUUUAAGCUAUUGUCAAUGAUUAUGUGUUGAUAAGGACAAGCUCAUGUGCUAACAAGGAUAAGAUCAAGAUAAGCAUUCCUGAGCACUACAUGCUUGAUUCUUGUGGAUGUUCACAUGGUGGACAAAUGAAGAUGAAUACAUAAGCUAGGCUUUCCACAUUGUGUAUGAGAAGAGCUACUUGAAGACUUCAUCAUGUCAUGCUUUCAACUUGAGCCAAGAAGAAACAACAACAUCAAGCUCAAGUGAAAGGGCUAACUCAAAGGUAUUAGUUCCUUUGACGUUAGUGGUGCGGAGUGAUGAUCAGCGAAUAAAAGUAUACAUUCAAGUAUGGAUCAUCGGUACCCUUUUAUAAUUCUUGAGUCCUUAGGGAUCCCGCACUAUUAAGA
rnacentral:lncRNA from 1 species